AGCAGCCGCGGUAAUUCCAGCUCCAAUAGCGUAUAUUAAAGUUGUUGCAGUUAAAAAGCUCGUAGUUGAAUUUCGGGGUUAGUAGGUUGGUCGUGCCACCGGUAUGUACUGGCUCUACUGAUCCCUCCUUCUUGUAGAACCGUAAUGCCAUUAACUUGGUGUUGCGGGGAAACAGGACUGUUACUUUGAAAAAAUUAGAGUGUUUAAAGCAGGCUAACGCUUGAAUACAUUAGCAUGGAAUAAUGAAAUAGGACGCUCGAUCCUAUUUUGUUGGUUUCUAGGAUUGACGUAAUGAUUAAUAGGGAUAGUUGGGGGCAUUAGUAUUCAAUUGUCAGAGGUGAAAUUCUUGGAUUUAUUGAAGACUAACUACUGCGAAAGCAUUUGCCAAGGAUGUCUUCAUUAAUCAAGAACGAAAGUUAGGGGAUCGAAGACGAUCAGAUACCGUCGUAGUCUUAACCAUAAACUAUGCCGACUAGGGAUCGGAUGAUGUUAAUUUUUUAAUGACUCAUUCGGCGCCUUA
rnacentral:rRNA from 1 species